UAUUCUGCCCCAUGGGGAAGGAUGAGAAGCUUCGACUAAGGUUCGACUCGAGCGAAGCGAGAGAACGUUGCCGCUGGCCCGAAGGCGAGGCGCUUUAGCGCCGAGUAAUCCUUCCCCCACCACUG
rnacentral:sRNA from 1 species